AAAAAGAAAAAGAACUGAAUCGCAAAAACGCCCAAAUACAGAGGGACUUAUAGCACAAAUAGACCAUUGAACCAAAAAGGCGCGGAUCCUCCCCCGGGUUAGGUCACCGCGCAGGUCGCACGCCUCUAAACGGCGUCGUUUGAUGCUUUACAGAACUAAAAAUAAAUAAAUAAAGAAAUGAAACCUAAAAAACAAAAACGAACUAAAACCCUAGCCCCCCUUCAAUCAAAAACGCGCCGCAAUCAACCUCCGUCCCCUUCGAUCUCCGACCACUGUGAAGCGGCCUAGGACUCGAUGACUCGACAGUUUUGAUGCACAGGUAAGCCUCUUUCCUCU
rnacentral:lncRNA from 1 species